rnacentral:piRNA from 1 species
UAACUAUCGAAAUGACGGUGUUAAUUUUGC